UUCUCACUUAAAACGCCGAUCCCUCACCCGAAACCUCCUUCCUUCCCCUCUGCUUGAAGCCGACCUCCCCUCUUCUUCUCAGUUCCCUCUCUUGCGGAUCACUCGACGCCAAGGCCGGAGGAGACUCAUCACCGGAGCUUGACGGUGCCGAGGAGCAGGAUCUGAUCGGGGGAUUCUUUCCGGCGGAUUUGGAGGCCGAUCGUCGAAGGCGCUGUGGCUAGGGCACGGUGAGAGACAGAUCAUGCAUCGUCUCCCAUCGGUAGACCAUUCCUCUUCUCUCCUCACGCUGGACACAGUGUGAUUACCCUUGUCGCUGGCCAGAUUGGACCGAGCGGCAUCACCUAGCAGUGAUCUUGGAGGCAGGGCAUCGUCGGAUCGCGUCUCCUUCCACCAUCGGCCACCGAAGCUUAGAGAGGUGCCCUAGUCCGGAUUUAUGCCACUCGAUCGUCUGCGAGGCUGAAUUAGGUCACGAGAUUGGGUGUGUUGAAUUGUUGAUCUCAUCUCUUGUGAUUGGAUUGACUUCAAGGAAAUGAGAAUCUGUGAUCGUGAAGUGGAUUCAGCAGAGGUGUUCUGUAGACUGUGAGGUUCCUUGUUCUUGAUUCCAGUAAGGUUGUGUGCUGUGGAUUAACAAGCAUGACUGUGUACUGUGGGUGUUGGUUCAACUCUACUUGUUCCAGCAUCCAGUAGUUGAGAUUGAGGACUCUGAUUCGAGACGGGCGUCUCGACGUUGACUUUGGAUUUGCUUGAUUGUACAUUCUAUUUGAG